GAAAUGCGAUAAGUAAUGUGAAUUGCAGAAUUCAGUGAAUCAUCGAAUCUUUGAACGCACAUUGCGCCCGCCAGUAUUCUGGCGGGCAUGCCUGUUCGAGCGUCAUUACAACCCUCAGGCCCCCGGGCCUGGCGUUGGGGAUCGGCGGAAGCCCCCUGCGGGCACAACGCCGUCCCCCAAAUACAGUGGCGGUCCCGCCGCAGCUUCCAUUGCGUAGUAGCUAACACCUCGCAACUGGAGAGCGGCGCGGCCACGCCGUAAAACACCCAACUUCUGAAUGUUGACCUCGAAUCAGGUAGGAAUACCCGCUGAACUGAAG
rnacentral:misc_RNA from 1 species